rnacentral:snRNA from 1 species
GGGCAUGAGGGUGGUCUGGCUGCGACCUCUGUCACCCCGUUGAUUGCCAGGGUUGAUUCGACUGAUCUGAUUGGCAGGCACCUGUCCGUCCUCUUCCCCCUCACUGGUCCAUGUGUGCCCCUCCCACAGUUGUGCACUUCUUCCUCGAGGAUGGCUUGCCCCAGGAGAGCUGCUGAUCUCUGUAGUCAUUGCACCCUCCUGCAAGAACUGCCAAAUAAAUUUGCAAACUGUGUGUGUGUGUGUGUGUGUGUGUGUGUGUGUGU